GGGGGCGUUAAGGUUUCGACGGAGUGGACUGAGGAUAGAGUUGCAGGUCGAGGUUCGUUGAGUCCCCUCGUUAAUCAGACUUGACAGCUAACAAUAACUGGCGAACCUGAACUCGCCCUGGCCGCCUAAUCUAGGCGACCCGUCCAUCCGAGGCUUGUCCGUGGCUUCGGAAUGGGCGUCACCCAGCGGACUGGCCGCGUGACCCGCUGCUCGAGGGCCGCCCGGCAAGAUCAAUCGAGCUGGCCUGGCUGGUUGGUCGGUCGUCCACCUGCCCGCCAGGCGAGAUCUGAGCGACGACUAAGCCUGUAGACGCUUUAUUGGCAGACACUUCGGACGCGGGUUCGAUUCCCGCCGCCUCCACCA
rnacentral:tmRNA from 1 species